rnacentral:rRNA from 1 species
AGAGCGAACGCUGGCGGCAGGCCUAAUACAUGCAAGUCGAACGGACCCUUCGGGGUUAGUGGCGGACGGGUGAGUAACACGUGGGAACGUGCCCUUUGGUUCAGAACAACUCAGGGAAACUUGAGCUAAUACUGGAUAAGCCCUUCGGGGGAAAGAUUUAUCGCCAUUGGAGCGGCCCGCGUCUGAUUAGCUAGUUGGUAGGGUAAAGGCCUACCAAGGCUACGAUCAGUAGCUGGUCUGAGAGGAUGAUCAGCCACACUGGGACUGAGACACGGCCCAGACUCCUACGGGAGGCAGCAGUAGGGAAUCUUGCGCAAUGGGCGAAAGCCUGACGCAGCCAUGCCGCGUGAAUGAUGAAGGUCUUAGGAUUGUAAAAUUCUUUCAGCGGGACGAUAAUGACGGUACCCGCAGAAGAAGCCCCGGCUAACUUCGUGCCAGCAGCCGC